CGGACGGGUGAGUAACGCGUGGGUAACCUGCCUUAUACAGGGGGAUAACAACCAGAAAUGGUUGCUAAUACCGCAUAAGCGCACAGGACCGCAUGGUCCGGUGUGAAAAACUCCGGUGGUAUAAGAUGGACCCGCGUUGGAUUAGCUAGUUGGCAGGGCAACGGCCUACCAAGGCGACGAUCCAUAGCCGGCCUGAGAGGGUGAACGGCCACAUUGGGACUGAGACACGGCCCAG
rnacentral:rRNA from 1 species